AGCCCCCGCUCGCCGCAACUAGAGAAAGGCCGCGCGCAGCAACGAAGACCCAGCGCAGCCAAAAAUAAGGGUUUAUUUCUGCCAGAGCGCACACUCUUAAGCAUCCCCAACUGUACCCUCCGUAAAGGCUGGGGAGAAGUGGGAAGAGCCGGUGACUUCAGUGUCCGUUCACAGCUGGUGGCACCAAGUCUGGUUACAGAGUAGGAGCCGGAAUCCUGUGAUGUCCAGAGAUGUCCAGCAUGUCAAAUUCUAGGCCAGAGACCGAGCCACAGGCACCAAGAGGCCAGAAAAUAUUGGAUGGGAGUUGGCUUA